GUUUUUAUGCAAAAUACUGUUAACUGCUGGGACAUCAGUCUACCCACUGGUUCACUGGGUACCUACUCUGUGACUGUGUGUGUCUGGGGACCUAUGGGUGACUUGGGCUUAUUCCUUGCCGCCAGGAUCUCAUGUCUAAUAGCAGUGGUCCACCUUCCAGGGUCUAAAACUAAUUUCAUCAUGAUAAUAAGAUGGUAUUUGCCUCUCCCACUUAUCCUCUCAUGAGUGUAUGAUGGCAUUUUCCAGAAGCUGCAUGGCAUACGAUGUUGUGCCAGACUUGAGCAUCAGCAAACCUGAGACUAUAGCUCUCUUCAUUAGGCCCGGCACUAAGGAAAUUUGCAAAUGUAAAGCAAUGCCACCUUUCUGUCUGUUUUUCAAAAAGUCAUUUUUCAUAAAGCUCUGUUCACUCUGUGUCUUCUAUGCAGCAUGCCUUCCUUCCUCCUUUCUGUCAUCAAGAUUACCUUCUCCACAAGGACAGAGCCCCUCCUUUCUGAGCACAGCUGCCUGUUUCUCUCUCCUCGGGGAUCCUGCCGCCCUGCUCACCUACCCCAGCACAAGCCAGGCUGUGCUAACCUUGUCUGUGUUGUUGGCACGGUCGUCUUUUCAGAUGGACGCAGGGAAUUUGGCACCAUUCGUCAUAAAUUCACAGUGUUUCCUGGGAUGACUUGCAAGCUUUGAAACUAACUCUUUGGACAUAGGCAGUGGAUUGUACGUACAUGUUUCAUAUUUAUCUUCCAUGACUGAUUGAAAGCUCCGUGAAGGAAGACCUGUGACGUCCUAUUCAUAGCUGUAUUCAACAACCCAGCACACAAAACCAAUUCUUGAUCAAUGAGUGAAUAAGAUACAUUGCCCUCUACUAUAUCUCCUCCAUUGAGAAUGUGCCUACCCAGGGAUACCCCUUUUAUUUUAUGAUAGGCACUCUAUUAAUUUGCUAGGGCUGCCAUAACAAAGUGCCACAGACUGGCUGGUCCAAAGGAUAGCAAAUCAUUGUCUCCGUUCUGGAGGUAGGAAGUCCAAGAUCAAGGUUCCAGAAGGUUGGUUCCUUCUGGGGCUGUGAAAAAGAAUAUAUUUCAUGUUUCUCUCUCUCCUAGCUUCUGGGGCUAGCUAGCAGCGUUUGGUAUUUCUUUCUGUUUGAAGCAUCACUCUCAUCUCUGCCUUCAUCUUCAUGGGGCAUUCUAACUCUAUGUAUGUCUGUGUCCAGAUUCCUUGUCUUAUAAGGACACUGGUCAUAGUGGAUUAAGAUCCACCCUUGGGACGCCUGGGUGGGUCAGUGGUUGAGCAUCUGCCUUCAGCCCAGGGCAUGAUCCUGGGGUCCUGGGAUCGAGUCCCACAUCAUGCUCCCUGCGAGGACCCUGCUUCUCCCUCUGCCUGUGUCUCUGCCUCUCCCUCUCUGUCCCUCAUGAAUAAAUAAAUAAAUCUUAAGAAAAAAAGACUGACACUGAUGAUUUCAUUUUAACUCAACUACCUCUGCAAAGACCCUGUAGCCAAGUAAGGUCAGACUGGGUGAUACUGGGGGUUAAGACCCAAUAUACCUUAUUCAAUCUAUAAUAGCUAUCAUGUUUUCUUCUUAUUUUUAUUUCAUUUUCUGCAAUUUUGUGAGUCCUUUAAGUGGACAUUAAAUGUCAUUUGUAAAUCCAAAACAAACAAACAAACAAACCAUUGACAAGAUGGGGAAAGAAUAAAGAAGAUUGAUAAAAGGACCAAUAACACUAUCCUCAUCUCCAUUCAUAGGAUACAUAGAGCAGACCCAAUGUUGGGUAUGGGGUGGGGUCUCACCACAGUCUGUGACAGCUUCCUUCCUAUGUGGCCUACUUCUUGGGCUUCAGGUAUUCAAGUCAGUUUGUAAUAGUGAUCCCUGUCCACAGGACCACCUGGGUUGCACCCCAGCCAGUCCCAUUGUAUCUAGAAAAUCUACCCCUCUGUUUUUCC
rnacentral:lncRNA from 1 species